ensembl:lincRNA
GCCGACUCUGUGACACUGCCGGACUCAGCCUCCGGGCACGAGGGAGGAGCAGCAGCCAGCAAAUUGGCCUUUUCAGCUUUCUCUUAAUUUGCCAGCAAACGCUCCUUUUUUUACCCUCAGCAUUGCACUGGGUGCCCGAUCCUGAUGUCCGAAAGCAGUGGGCUACAAUCACUCUAAAUCAGGCUGGAAAGCGUGUUUCUGAGUCUUUCCCCAUCUGUCUGACUUGAAGGUUCUGCUGUUGGUAACGAGUCGUUUCUUCGGCAGAAUCCUGGACGGGAGGAACUUCGUGUUCAAUCAUUGCUAGUCCAUGACACAAGCUGGAAGCCUUGUGAACCCUCCUCCAGGCCACACGCAGCUCCGAGGACAGUGCCUGGCUGGGGACCAGAGUGCCCUGCAGGGAACUCGGCCUGAGGGACUAUCCUCCGCGACUCUGGGCGACCUGAGGCCUGAGGCUUCUAGGAGGAAACGGCUGCUGUUACCAGGCAACAGCUGGGAGUGUGUGGUCCGAGGCAGGGGCCAGCUGGACGCCGUCACUCCUGGACACCAGCCUCCGGCACCCCUGACCCUUGCGGAGGUGCUGACCUGUGACCGAGCAGGCUGUGUCCCUGGACAUGAGCUGGGUGUAUCGGGCUGCAGGCCGGGCAGGGUCUCCGUCUGCACUUCCAAACGCUGCUCUCCACUCAGAACAAAGCACUGCCCUCGGAGUUCCCCGGAAGAGGCAUGUCCCUGAGUUAUGCUUUUCUUAUUGACCUUCCAUGGAGAUUUGCGACUUGCAGACCCGAGGAUCCUUCGGAGGAUGGGAGAGGCAGGGGUCCGAGGGGCUUCGGAGCUUCUAGGAGCCUUUUACCAAUGGCACCUUCUUCUGACCUACACUAGAACUUGGGUGCGUGUGCACUGUGUAUAUGUGCACAUGCGUUUCUAUGUGUCUAUGUGUAUUAAAACACAUGCUUGAGUGCACACAUGCAAGUGAAUGUACACGUGAAUAUACAUGUGUCUGUACUCAUAUGUCUGAGAGGAGACUGUGGAGCCUCAGCAUGCACAACCGACCAUGAAGAGGUGGUUGCUGGAUGCAGGACAGGUCCCGGGCAUCUCCCUUGUGUCCAAACCCGGCACCUGUGUCGUCCUAUCUGCAGUCUCUGCUGAUGUGGUGUUCUUGUGAUUGCUGACACAUUUUAAAUGAUUUUUACCAUCUUAUUUGUGAUUUCUUUUCCCCCCCUGAAGUUUCCAUGUUGUUUCCUGCCUCGUUUUGAGUUGAUUACAUGUUUAAAGCCCAUGUUCCCUCCCCUAUGUUUUAGAAUGUCACAGACCUAUGGUACCGUGUACUUUAUCCUACUGGGGGGGGAGCCCUGAAAAUUUUAACAGACAAAUGUGACUCAAUCUAAACCAGAGGAUAGAUCUGCACUCCUGAGCUAUCCAGGGAACCCAGGCUAUUUGCCAUUUAAUUGUGCCCCCCAAAGAGUUAGUGACAUAUCUUUUCUUUCUGUCCCGCCCCCGGUUAGGAUUUAUUAGCAUUAUAAUUUCUAUGUCGAUGUUUAUGCAGAUUUACCUGUUUUUUUUUUUUUUUUUACUCUUUCCUCAACACUGUUUCUUGCCACUCAGAAUCUCUGUUCUGGAAUUGUUUUCCUUUUUCCUGAGCAAAUUAAGUUCUCUCUGAUGGGUCUUCGGUGGCAAACUCGCAGUUGGUUCUGAGGCGGCGGCGGCGCUCGAGACGCAGUGAGCCGCGGUGAGCAGAGCUGGUUGGAGACGCUGCUUCCCCGCCACACCGGGAGAGGGUUGGAGUCCUCUCAGGACACCUCAGAGCUCACUGAGGGCACCUCUGUCACCUCACCGGAGAGUACAGGGGGGACUUUGUGGCUCCCCACAGUGGGGUCCUCAGCACUCCCGGGGGAGCCUGGCUGCAACUUCCGCUCCUUGGCAGGUCCUGGGGUCUCACUGUCAGUGCUCUGCUGGGACAGUGCUCCUGCCCAUGCUGCAGGAGUUUGGGCCCGUAUGCUAACCUGGCCCUGCCUCCAAAGGCCAUGGGGUUCGCUAGUGUCCCCAGCGUAGAGGCAGACUGGCCCACACCUACCUUCUGGCGAGCUGGAGGCUGGGGCCGAGAGCGUCACACGGAGAGGAGACUGAGGCUGAACCUGCCGUCUGACC